rnacentral:rRNA from 1 species
UAGGGAAUCUUCGGCAAUGGACGAAAGUCUGACCGAGCAACGCCGCGUGAGUGAAGAAGGUUUUCGGAUCGUAAAACUCUGUUGGUAGAGAAGAACGUUGGUGAGAGUGGAAAGCUCAUCAAGUGACGGUAACUACCCAGAAAGGGACGGCUAACUACGUGCCAGCAGCCGCGGUAAUACGUAGGUCCCGAGCGUUGUCCGGAUUUAUUGGGCGUAAAGCGAGCGCAGGUGGUUUAUUAAGUCUGGUGUAAAAGGCAGUGGC